rnacentral:rRNA from 1 species
GCUGGCGGCGUGCCUAAUACAUGCAAGUCGAGCGCGGGAAGCGAGUGGAUCCCCUUCGGGGGUGACACUCGUGGAACGAGCGGCGGACGGGUGAGUAACACGUGGGCAACCUGCCUGUAAGACCGGAAUAACCCCGGGAAACCGGGGCUAAUGCCGGGUAAUACUCUUCUUCGCAUGAAGAAGAGUUGAAAGAUGGCUUUCAGCUAUCACUUACAGAUGGGCCCGCGGCGCAUUAGCUAGUUGGUGAGGUAACGGCUCACCAAGGCGACGAUGCGUAGCCGACCUGAGAGGGUGAUCGGCCACACUGGGACUGAGACACGGCCCAGACUCCUACGGGAGGCAGCAGUAGGGAAUCUUCCGCAAUGGACGAAAGUCUGACGGAGCAACGCCGCGUGAACGAUGAAGGUCUUCGGAUCGUAAAGUUCUGUUGUUAGGGAAGAACAAGUACCGUGCGAAUAGAGCGGUACCUUGACGGUACCUAACGAGGAAGCCCCGGCUAACUACGUGCCAGCAGCCGCGGUAAUACGUAGGGGGCAAGCGUUGUCCGGAAUUAUUGGGCGUAAAGCGCGCGCAGGCGGUUCCUUAAGUCUGAUGUGAAAGCCCACGGCUCAACCGUGGAGGGUCAUUGGAAACUGGGGAACUUGAGGACAGAAGAGGAAAGUGGAAUUCCCGUGUAGCGGUGAAAUGCGUAAAUAUGUGGAGGAACACCAGUGGCGAAGGCGACUCUCUGGUCUGUCUUCACCCUGAGGUGCGAAACGUGGGUACAACAGGAUAAAUACCUGGUAUCCCCCCCUAA